rnacentral:tRNA from 1 species
AGCGCGAUAGAACAGUUAGGAGUGUUCGUCGGGCCCAUAACCCGAAGGUCGCUGGUUCAAAUCCAGCUCGCGCUA